AUUGAACGCUGGCGGCAGGCCUAACACAUGCAAGUCGAACGAGUAGCGGACGGGUGAGUAAUGUCUGGGAAACUGCCUGAAGGAGGGGGAUAAGUAGUGGAAAAGAUCGCUAAUACCGCAUAACAUCAGAUGUGCCCAGAUGGGAUGAGCUAGUUGGUGGGGUAACGGCUCACAAAGGCGACAAUCCCUAGCUGGUCUGAGAGGAUGACCAGCCACACUGGAACUGAGACACGGUCCAGACUCCGACGGGAGGCAGCAGUGGGGAAUAUUGCACAAGGGGCGCAAGCCUGAUGCAGCCAUGCCGCGUGUAUGAAGAAGGCCGUCGGGUUGUAAAGUACUUUCAGCGGGGAGGCGUUACCCGCAGAAGAAGCACCGGCUAACUCCGUGCCAGCAGCCGCGGUAAUAC
rnacentral:rRNA from 1 species